rnacentral:rRNA from 1 species
UGAACGCUGGCGGCAUGCCUUACACAUGCAAGUCGAACGGCAGCACGGGUGCUUGCACCUGGUGGCGAGUGGCGAACGGGUGAGUAAUACAUCGGAACAUGUCCUGUAGUGGGGGAUAGCCCGGCGAAAGCCGGCAUUAAUACCGUCAUGACGACUCUACGGAUGAAAGCGGGGGACCUUCGGGCCUCGCGCUAUAGGGUUGGCCGAUGGCUGAUUAGCUAGUUGGUGGGGUAAAGGCCUACCAAGGCGACGAUCAGUAGCUGGUCUGAGAGGACGACCAGCCACACUGGGACUGAGACACGGCCCAGACUCCUACGGGAGGCAGCAGUGGGGAAUUUUGGACAAUGGGCGAAAGCCUGAUCCAGCAAUGCCGCGUGUGUGAAGAAGGCCUUCGGGUUGUAAAGCACUUUUGUCCGGAAAGAAAUCCUUGGUUCUAAUAUAGCCGGGGGAUGACGGUACCGGAAGAAUAAGCACCGGCUAACUACGUGCCAGCAGCCGCGGUAAUACGUAGGGUGCGAGCGUUAAUCGGAAUUACUGGGCGUAAAGCGUGCGCAGGCGGUUUGCUAAGACCGAUGUGAAAUCCCCGGGCUCAACCUGGGAACUGCAUUGGUGACUGGCAGGCUAGAGUAUGGCAGAGGGGGGUAGAAUUCCACGUGUAGCAGUGAAAUGCGUAGAGAUGUGGAGG